rnacentral:rRNA from 1 species
CGACAUUAGACGAAUCAUCUGGAAAGAUGAAUCAAAGAAGGUAAUAAUCCUGUAGUCGAAAAUGUUGUCUCUCUUGAGUGGAUCCUGAGUACGACGGAGCACGUGAAAUUCCGUCGGAAUCUGGGAGGACCAUCUCCUAAGGCUAAAUACUCUCUAGUGACCGAUAGUGAACCAGUACCGUGAGGGAAAGGUGAAAAGCACCCCGGAAGGGGAGUGAAAUAGAACCUGAAACCGUGUGCUUACAAGUAGUCAGAGCCCGUUAAUGGGUGAUGGCGUGCCUUUUGUAGAAUGAACCGGCGAGUUACGAUUUGAUGCAAGGUUAAGCAGUAAAUGUGGAGCCGUAGCGAAAGCGAGUCUGAAUAGGGCGUUUAGUAUUUGGUCGUAGACCCGAAACCAGGUGAUCUACCCUUGGUCAGGUUGAAGUUCAGGUAACACUGAAUGGAGGACCGAACCGACUUACGUUGAAAAGUGAGCGGAUGAACUGAGGGUAGCGGAGAAAUUCCAAUCGAACCUGGAGAUAGCUGGUUCUCUCCGAAAUAGCUUUAGGGCUAGCCUCAAGUGAUGAUUAUUGGAGGUAGAGCACUGUUUGGACGAGGGGCCCCUCUCGGGUUACCGAAUUCAGACAAACUCCGAAUGCCAAUUAAUUUAACUUGGGAGUCAGAACAUGGGUGAUAAGGUCCGUGUUCGAAAGGGAAACAGCCCAGACCACCAGCUAAGGUCCCAAAAUAUAUGUUAAGUGGAAAAGGAUGUGGCGUUGCCCAGACAACUAGGAUGUUGGCUUAGAAGCAGCCAUCAUUUAAAGAGUGCGUAAUAGCUCACUAGUCGAGUGACACUGCGCCGAAAAUGUACCGGGGCUAAACAUAUUACCGAAGCUGUGGAUUGUCCUUUGGACAAUGGUAGGAGAGCGUUCUAAGGGCGUUGAAGCAUGAUCGUAAGGACAUGUGGAGCGCUUAGAAGUGAGAAUGCCGGUGUGAGUAGCGAAAGACGGGUGAGAAUCCCGUCCACCGAUUGACUAAGGUUUCCAGAGGAAGGCUCGUCCGCUCUGGGUUAGUCGGGUCCUAAGCUGAGGCCGACAGGCGUAGGCGAUGGAUAACAGGUUGAUAUUCCUGUACCACCUAUAAUCGUUUUAAUCGAUGGGGGGACGCAGUAGGAUAGGCGAAGCGUGCGAUUGGAUUGCACGUCUAAGCAGUAAGGCUGAGUAUUAGGCAAAUCCGGUACUCAUUAAGGCUGAGCUGUGAUGGGGAGAAGACAUUGUGUCUUCGAGUCGUUGAUUUCACACUGCCGAGAAAAGCCUCUAGAUAGAAAAUAGGUGCCCGUACCGCAAACCGACACAGGUAGUCAAGAUGAGAAUUCUAAGGUGAGCGAGCGAACUCUCGUUAAGGAACUCGGCAAAAUGACCCCGUAACUUCGGGAGAAGGGGUGCUCUUUAGGGUUAACGCCCAGAAGAGCCGCAGUGAAUAGGCCCAAGCGACUGUUUAUCAAAAACACAGGUCUCUGCUAAACCGUAAGGUGAUGUAUAGGGGCUGACGCCUGCCCGGUGCUGGAAGGUUAAGAGGAGUGGUUAGCUUCUGCGAAGCUACGAAUCGAAGCCCCAGUAAACGGCGGCCGUAACUAUAACGGUCCUAAGGUAGCGAAAUUCCUUGUCGGGUAAGUUCCGACCCGCACGAAAGGCGUAACGAUUUGGGCACUGUCUCAACGAGAGACUCGGUGAAAUCAUAGUACCUGUGAAGAUGCAGGUUACCCGCGACAGGACGGAAAGACCCCGUGGAGCUUUACUGUAGCCUGAUAUUGAAAUUCGGCACAGCUUGUACAGGAUAGGUAGGAGCCUUUGAAACGUGAGCGCUAGCUUACGUGGAGGCGCUGGUGGGAUACUACCCUAGCUGUGUUGGCUUUCUAACCCGCACCACUUAUCGUGGUGGGAGACAGUGUCAGGCGGGCAGUUUGACUGGGGCGGUCGCCUCCUAAAAGGUAACGGAGGCGCUCAAAGGUUCCCUCAGAAUGGUUGGAAAUCAUUCAUAGAGUGUAAAGGCAUAAGGGAGCUUGACUGCGAGACCUACAAGUCGAGCAGGGUCGAAAGACGGACUUAGUGAUCCGGUGGUUCCGCAUGGAAGGGCCAUCGCUCAACGGAUAAAAGCUACCCCGGGGAUAACAGGCUUAUCUCCCCCAAGAGUUCACAUCGACGGGGAGGUUUGGCACCUCGAUGUCGGCUCAUCGCAUCCUGGGGCUGUAGUCGGUCCCAAGGGUUGGGCUGUUCGCCCAUUAAAGCGGUACGCGAGCUGGGUUCAGAACGUCGUGAGACAGUUCGGUCCCUAUCCGUCGUGGGCGUAGGAAAUUUGAGAGGAGCUGUCCUUAGUACGAGAGGACCGGGAUGGACAUACCUCUGGUGUACCAGUUGUCGUGCCAACGGCAUAGCUGGGUAGCUAUGUGUGGACGGGAUAAGUGCUGAAAGC